UACGUAGGGGGCAAGCGUUGUCCGGAAUCAUUGGGCGUAAAGCGCGUGUAGGCGGCUCGGUAAGUCUGCUGUGAAAGUCCAGGGCUCAACCCUGGGAUGCCGGUGGAUACUGUCGAGCUCGAGUCCGGAAGAGGCGAGUGGAAUUCCUGGUGUAGCGGUGAAAUGCGCAGAUAUCAGGAGGAACACCUAUGGCGAAGGCAGCUCGCUGGGACGUGACUGACGCUGAGACGCGAAAGCGUGGGGAGCGAACAGG
rnacentral:rRNA from 1 species